CUGAGCGCUGAGAUCUUUUCUGCUUUGGUGCCGCGCCCCCCUUGUCAGAGAAGAGAGUUCUUUCCUACCUACUCACAGUCAGAACAACAAGUUCGCCCCAGAUGCAUUUCUAGGAUGAUGAGCCCGCGUCAACAAUUUAAGCACAAGGAGAUGUAAAAAACAGAUUAAUUUUGAUCCACAUAUUUGGACGAAGACUUAUUUCAGGAUAGGCAUGGAGUCACCCUCCAGUUACGUGCAGGCCAUAUACACUUUCAAGGGGACAAAUAAUGAUGAGUUGUGUUUCAAGAAAGGCCAAAUUAUAUCAAUCACUCAGCGAGAAGACGGAGGCUGGUGGGAAGGCACGCUUGAUGGUAAAACUGGUUGGUUUCCCAGCAACUAUGUCACAGAAUACAAACCCUCGCCAACCACAGGUAAAAUGAAAGGAAACAAUUUGAAAUGGAAUAGCAAUUUAACAUAUCAAUACAUAGUUUUAUCUAGCAGCCCAUUGUCAGGGCAAAACUCUCCAAAUUCUGUACCUCUGCCCAUCGACCUAGCUGCCCAGCAGAAACUAUACAAAGGCGUAGUCCUCAAGGAUCUACUGGACUCUGAGAGGGUUCACGUUAAUGAGCUUCGAACGCUUUUUGUCACCUACUUAAGACCAAUGAAGUCUGCAGACAUCUUAAAUUCUGAUGAGUACGUAAAGCUGAUUGGCAAUAUUGAAGAUGUUUUGGCCAAGUACUCAAGGUUGCUUGCCAGCAUGGAAGAAGGAGGAGAAACUGGUGAUGGAGUUAGGGUUGGAAAGUUGUUCCUUACGACAGCACCUGGACUAUCUGAGUGCUUGCAGACUUAUUGUGCAAACCAUCCUUUCGCUGUAGCUCUUUUGGAAACAAAGAGGGAAAUUCUGAAUAAUUUCAUGGAGGCAAGAGGAGCCCAGUCACCAGGACUGCUAGUACUGACUGCUGGCCUUAGCAAGCCCUUUCGCAGGCUCGACAAAUACCAAGGCCUGCUGCAGGAGGUUCUCCGGCACCUAUCUGAGACUGACCCUGACCGAGGGGACACGCAAAGAGCGGUGCACGUAUACAAGGAGAUGGCUGCGAGCUGCAGUGCUAUCAGACGGCAGAAGCAGCUGCAGCUGGAGGUGCUCUCUGGAACAGUGAGAAACUGGGAGGGGGAGGACGUGUCAGCUCUCGGUGACAUCAUCCACAUGGGAUCUGUGGCUGUCGGACACACGCACAGCGACAGAUACCUUGUGCUGUUCCCCAGGACUCUGCUUGUCCUUGCGGUUUCUUCACGCAUGAGUGGAUUUAUAUACCAGGGUAAGCUCCAGCUGUCAGCAAUUCAAAUAAAGAAGUUAGAAGACACAGAAGUUUUCAAAAAUGCCUUUGAGAUCACAAGUCCAAUGAUCGAACCUAUUGUGGCGGUGUGCCAGUCUAAAGAGGAGCAGCAGCGAUGGGUGGAUAUGAUCCAACGGCAGUCAUCUCUGCUGCCACAGCAUUCCUCAGUACCUUCGCAGAUCGUCAAGGAGAAGACCAACUCGCUGCAGCACCAAGUGGCCAGUUCUCCCCACCACCGCGUCACCUCCCCAGUCAGCCUGUCUAAUAUUAGUGCACCAGUUAUGGCUCCAGCUGCUCGAGCGGUGUCAGUGGGAUCGACACCUCAAGGGAAAACGCAACCGUCGCCCCCACCGCACAGGACAGAUCCUGCAGGACUAAAAGGUUGGAGCCUAUCCUGCCUAAGACCAAAACCCCCGCUCAGGGCGGGACUCGUCCUAGGCUCGCAGUCAAUCGACCAGCAGAGAAACUCCCGAAAGAGGGAAGAGCGAAGUUAUGAGGAGGACGCACAGAUUCUCAGCGUGAUUGAGGCCUACUGCUUGAGUUCCAAAACAAGACACACCCUCAACUCAAGCACCAUGUAUCUGUCUGAGGAGCCGGCCGCUGUCCACUUUUACUCUGAGCAGGAGGAAGAUGAGGAUGCACCCUGCCUAAGACCCUACCCUACUGCGCGCAGGCACACCAUGCAACCCUGGUGCUGCGGGAGCUUUGGCAAGGGCUUGCGCAAGUCCUACUUUGAUUGAAAUUCAAUGGGUUUUAUUGUAAAAGAAAAUUAGAAUUCUUAGUGGUUAUUGGUUCGUUUGGUGUUAUGGAAAAGCCAUAAUGCUUGCAAACUCACAAAAUUGUUAUCGCAUCCUCGCCCUGUGCAGGCCUCAUUGAUUCACCUCAGGUGCUGAUCGCCGAAGAAGAGAAAAUCAUUGUCGAGGAGCAUUCUGGCGGAUACACCAACGUCCAAGAAAAAAGUCUUGUGGACACGGUAUACGCUCUUAGAGAUCAAGUGAAGGGACUGUCAGCGCAAA